CCUACGGGCGGCUGCAGUGGGGAAUAUUGGACAAUGGGGGCAACCCUGAUCCAGCCAUGCCGCGUGUGUGAAGAAGGCCCUCGGGUUGUAAAGCACUUUCAGUGAGGAAGAACGCCUGGUGGUUAAUACCCAUCAGGAAAGACAUCACUCACAGAAGAAGCACCGGCUAACUCCGUGCCAGCAGCCGCGGUAAUACGGAGGGUGCGAGCGUUAAUCGGAAUUACUGGGCGUAAAGCGCGCGUAGGUGGCUUGAUAAGCCGGUUGUGAAAGCCCCGGGCUCAACCUGGGAACGGCAUCCGGAACUGUCAAGCUAGAGUGCAGGAGAGGAAGGUAGAAUUCCCGGUGUAGCGGUGAAAUGCGUAGAGAUCGGGAGGAAUACCAGUGGCGAAGGCGGCCUUCUGGACUGACACUGACACUGAGGUGCGAAAGCGUGGGUAGCAAACAGGAUUAGAUACCCUGGUAGUG
rnacentral:rRNA from 1 species